GAUGAACGCUAGCGGCAGGCUUAAUACAUGCAAGUCGAGGGGCAGCAUGAUUGUAGCAAUACAAUUGAUGGCUACCGGCAAACGGGUGCGGAACACGUACACAACCUUCCAAUAAGUGGGGAAUAGCCCAGAGAAAUUUGGAUUAAUACCCCGUAACAUAACGAUGUGGGAUCACAUUGUUACUAUAGAUUUUUCGCUUAUUGAUGGGUGUGCGGCUGAUUAGAUAGUUGGCGGGGUAACGGCCCACCAAGUCUACGAUCAGUAGCUGAUGUGGGAGCAUGAUCAGCCACACGGGCACUGAGACACGGGCCCGACUCCUACGGGAGGCAGCAGUAAGGAAUAUUGGACAAUGGACGCAAGUCUGAUCCAGCCAUGCCGCGUGAAGGAUUAAGGUCCUCUGGAUUGUAAACUUCUUUUAUAAGGGACGAAAAAAGGCUUUUCUAAGUCGUCUGACGGUACCUUAUGAAUAAGCACCGGCUAACUCCGUGCCAGCCGCCGCCGUAAUAC
rnacentral:rRNA from 1 species